UACUGUUACGGCCUAGCAUUUUUCUUUUAUUUAAUUAGUUAUAUUGUCGUUAUUAAUUGGUGUUAUAUUUGGGUCCCAAUUAAUUAUUUUUGUGAGCGCUAUGAAUAUUGAUGUCACGAUUGUAAUAUUUGGGGUAUGAGAUUAAUUUUGGAUAAAAUGGUGGUACUGAAUGGUAAUUUUAUAAAUUGUGUUACGUUCUAUACAAAUCUAAUUAACUAAUUAGCUAUAAUAUAGGGAGUAGUGGGUAGUUUUAUAAAGUUAGGAGAUAUUUUGCACGGUGUAGGGUUUUAUUUGGGCAGAGCGUUUGAGAAAAGAAGUUGAGAGAACUUUGGGUGAAAGAAAAAGAGAGAGCAGAAGCAGCCGGAGGUUGUGAGGUACCGGUGUGUCAGUCGAACUUCUUUUCCCGAUCUUGCUCUCGGCUUUGUACGGUACGUAAUCUUGUCUUUAAUGUUUCCAUUACUUUCCACUGCCGUUUGGAGGAGGGAAGCAGUUGUUGGGUUUGUUGGGUUGCACAAUCUUUUUGUGGUAUUAGAAUUAAUUGGGUGUGAUAUGGAUGGAGUGAGUCGGUGGGUGAGAGUGUGUGUCGUGUGUGCGGCAACGGGUUAAAAUUAUAAUAGAUGUCGUGUGUGGUGUUGAUCUCUGUUGUCGUGGUAUGGGAAUUGCUAGAGUUAGGAAUACUCCUGUGGAAUGAUUUUAAUAAUUUAUGGUGGCAGUAGACUUGGAUGGUUUUGGUUUUAUACGAGUUUCGCUGGAAGUUAUUUUCUUUUAAUGUUAUUGGACAGUGGUGUGUGCUCAUGGUUGGAGGCAUGUAGUUUGGUUUUAGCAGUAGUGAUUACAGAGGGCAGUAGUUAGGAUUAGGCUAAGUUUUAUUUUGAUAGGAGGUGGUAUUCUGUAUCUACAAGUGUAUAUAUGUAUAGUUAGUCAUUUUGUUCUUUGUUCUUUUAUUCAGGUUAACAUCUUUUUGCGCGUUCGAUUGCAUUACUUUUGGAUUCAGGGAACUUAUUCCUUCUCGUGUUGGUGACCCUGGCCAUUGGGGAAAAGACCGUGUUAGGCCGGUGACCCUAAUGCUCAAUGGCUUUCUUUCGCCGGAUCGUCUUAAGGAAAAGUACCACGGGCUGCCAACCCUGGUGACUCUAAGUUCGAUAUUGGAUCCAAUUUUGAUGAGAUUUAUUUUGGCCAUGGUACUAUUUGAUUGUGGUUCCCCAUUGUUGAUGGAGUUAAUGUUGUGAUCACCACCAAGAAUAUUUAUUGGUUAAAUACUUCA